CUACGGGCCGCAGCAGUGAGGAAUAUUGCACAAUGGGGGGAACCCUGAUGCAGCAACGCCGCGUGGAGGAUGACGCAUUUCGGUGUGUAAACUCCUUUUAUAUGUCAAGAAAAUGACGGUAGCAUAUGAAUAAGCACCGGCUAACUCCGUGCCAGCAGCCGCGGUAAUAGGGAGGGUGCAAGCGUUACUCGGAAUCACUGGGCGUAAAGGACGCGUAGGCGGGUUGGAAAGUCAGGUGUGAAAUCCUACAGCUUAACUGUAGAACUGCACUUGAAACUUCUAAUCUAGAGUAUGGGAGGGGGAGAUGGAAUUAGUGGUGUAGGGGUAAAAUCCGUAGAUAUCACUAGGAAUACCUAAAGCGAAGGCGAUCUCCUGGAACAUUACUGACGCUAAGGCGUGAAAGCGUGGGGAGCAAACAGGAUUAAUACCCUGGUAGUC
rnacentral:rRNA from 1 species